AUUGAACGCUGGCGGCAGGCCUAACACAUGCAAGUCGAACGAGUGGCAGACGGGUGAGUACUGUCUGGGAAACUGCCCGAUGGAGGGGGAUAACUACUGGAAACAGUAGCUAAUACCGCAUACCAUCGGAUGUGCCCAGAUGGGAUUAGCUAGGAGGUGGGGUAACGGCUCACCUAGGCGACGAUCCCUAGCUGGGCUGAGAGGAUGACCAGCCACACUGGAACUGUGACACGGUCCAGAGUCCUACGGGAGGCAGCAGUGGUGAAUAUGGCACAAGGGGCGGAAGCCUGAUGCAGCCAGGCCGCGUGUAUGAAGAAGGCAUUCGGGUUGUAAAGUACUUUCAGCGAGGAGGCGUUACUCGCAGAAGAAGCACCGGCUAACUCCGUGCCAGCAGCCGCGGUAAUUC
rnacentral:rRNA from 1 species